rnacentral:rRNA from 1 species
AACGCUGAAGCUCAGCUUUUGUUGGGUGGAUGAGUGGCGAACGGGUGAGUAACACGUGAGUAACCUGCCCCCUUCUUUGGGAUAACGCCCGGAAACGGGUGCUAAUACUGGAUAUUCACUUGCCUUCGCAUGGGGGUUGGUGGAAAGGGUUUUUUCUGGUGGGGGAUGGGCUCGCGGCCUAUCAGCUUGUUGGUGGGGUGAUGGCCUACCAAGGCUUUGACGGGUAGCCGGCCUGAGAGGGUGACCGGUCACAUUGGGACUGAGAUACGGCCCAGACUCCUACGGGAGGCAGCAGUGGGGAAUAUUGCACAAUGGGCGAAAGCCUGAUGCAGCGACGCCGCGUGAGGGAUGGAGGCCUUCGGGUUGUAAACCUCUUUCGCUCAUGGUCAAGCCGCAGCUUUGGGUUGUGGUGAGGGUAGUGGUUAAAGAAGCGCCGGCUAACUACGUGCCAGCAGCCGCGGUAAUACGUAGGGCGCGAGCGUUGUCCGGAAUUAUUGGGCGUAAAGGGCUUGUAGGCGGUUGGUCGCGUCUGCCGUGAAAUCCCCUGGCUUAACUGGGGGCGUGCGGUGGGUACGGGCUGACUUGAGUGCGGUAGGGGAGACUGGAACUCCUGGUGUAGCGGUGGAAUGCGCAGAUAUCAGGAAGAACAC